UGCUUUCAAUCGCUUUGGGAAGAGAGAAAGACUCGCUCGUCGGUUUCUUUCCGGUUUACUAGAGAGAAAUUCUCCCGUUCCGUUUCCUUAAAAAAAAAAAAUUUAUAUAUUUAAACUUUUACAUUCAAAGCCAACGCCUUCACAAAGAAAAGAGACAAAAACAAAAUCAUUUCCCAGUUAUCCGAUCGACAAGAAUCAGUGUGCCUCUCCAACCGACGGCAAAGAUACAAAUUCGCUGAGCAACACACGAUAAUCGCCCCUCGAAAAAAAUUAAAGGAACAGGCCUAGUUUCGAAUCGAAUUGCAUAGAGGGCCGCUUCAAUACAGCGCUCCUUAUGUAUAUCAAAAUAAAGCAGUAAGAAUGUAACACACAAAUUAAAGUUUUUGUAGACAUUCAAACGUUCGUGGCAGCAAGAAGAGGGAAAAGCGUUUCCAGGGCGUUCAUCCACCAACCACCUCAACCUCAACCGUUUUUUUUUUUCUUCUUCGUCUGGUAUAAAAACCGCAAAACCCGGUUAAUUCCCAACAUCGACAACAACAAACAGCCCUUGUGGCAUUGUAAAAAAAAAAAGGAUUGAGAAGGGGACUGAAAUAUAAUCAAAAAUAUUUUUACCAAGAUCAAACGGCGCGGGGAAGAAAAACAAAAGAAUAAGACGGUCCCAAUUUAUUUGACUCCAUCGUUUUUUUUCUUCUUUACUUCAACUUUCGAUGGUGUAAUGGUAACACACGACAAUCUGUUCCAAUGUUCCCUCACCGACAAGGGUUAAGGGUACAUCGAUAUUUAUAAGACUAGGAGCUCGUAAGACUCAACGUCCAUAGAUGCAUAUGGCUUCUACUAAUAAAAAAAAAAACGAAGGAAAAAAAAAAGGAUUUGUUUCAAGAGAAAGGGUCCGAUGAAAAUAAAAACAUGAGAAAAGGUAGUCGAAUGGAGUCAUAAAAAUUGAGGGGGGAAAAUAAAAAUAGAAAACUUUUUUUUUUCUUUUCUUUUCGAUAGAUCGAGGGCCUAUUACCAUGGCUACCGCUUCUUCUUCUUCUUCUUUUUAUAUAUAAAAUAAAGAGCUUUGGCCAGACGAAGCAUCAGUUGGUAUUUCGGAUCUGACUAAAUCAGACCCCUCAAUCAUUUCAUCUUCAAUUCGUACGCGCAAUUUGUUAUUAAAUUCAAAUCCCUUCAAAAGACAACAAAAAAAGCUAAGAUUCCCGUUAUCGUUUCCAAAAUGUGUUGCACGCCGUCGACCCCCUUUUUGACGUCAACGAAAAACAGGGUUGCAUUUAAUUCCGGCAAGUGAGAAGGAAAAAAAAAAAAAAUCCAUUCGGACCAGCUGCGCCAUCUUCUAGCUAAACCGUCUGCAACUCUCCCAUUGUUGUCAAAACUUGCUCUCCAAUCUUCUAACCACGUCCUACUCACUAAUAGCUAAACUGUAAUAUGUGUACCCAACAACUUACAAAAAAAAAAAAAAACGAAAAAGGACCCGCGAGAACUUACGGGUCACGCAAUCAAGCGCAAGUUGGGCCAAAGCGUCUCCCGACAAGUCCCUUAUACGACCGUUUCUCUCUUUGCUAUAUUAAAACUCGUCUAUUGCGUAUGUCGUGUUUGUGUAAUCCCGACGGCUUCGAGGUCGCAUGUUACAUGUAAUAUUUCUUAUUAGGCAAGAACGCAGAGGCAGAACUACCGGUUUAAAAACGUAAUCCAAUUUAGUGGACCAACAUCACGGGCGUCAUCAUCGUUUGUUUUUCACAAAAAUGAAUUUGUUCGAUCCAAAAACAACAAAACUUAAUUUUUUUCUUCCUUUCUUUUGUUUCGAAAAAAAAAAAAGUAGAAUAGAUCUCUCCGCUAUAUUUCAUGUGUUCUAGAGCAUGUGUUUCCCUCUCAGUGUAUUGAUUUUCUCAUCAGACCACACACACAAAACUGUAAAAAGAAAAAAAAAAAUGGCAGCCAACGCG